rnacentral:lncRNA from 1 species
GAGGUGCGCCUUAAGUGUGGAGGUGCAGGGCGACGCAUCUUUGAAGUGUGUCAUGGGAAACUUCAAACUGUUACGUCGUGCCCAACCCACAGUCCACUCUCCCACCCCGUAGUGACCCGCAGAGCACCUGUUGAGCAACAAGACGUCCCCAGAACACUCCUCACUGCCCCCUGUCCCCGCUGGCCUCUUGAGCAGCCCGUUCAGGACCAUCCCGUCGUGAAUGAUGUUUCCUGUGGCUGAAGCUUCCGCGAGGAGUCGGGGGGUCCAGUCCCCACCACGCGGCCAGCCUGGGCUAGACGUCACACGCACAAUCACCUUGUCCCCCCUGUACAGGUGAGAACACGGAGGGACUGUUAUUCAUGUGUUUGGUAAAUGAACAAAUCACACGCACACACACACACACACACGCAGAUGUGCUGUGACAGAUUGUCCCUUAUCUACAGCUUCUAGACCAGCUGACCUUGUGGUCCUGGGGUCAUGGCUCUCUGAGACAUUCAGGGACACCAGCAGUCAACGUGGGGUCUGGCAGAGGCCAGCAGCUUCUCGACACAUCCGGUCCCCACCUAGACUCGGUGCUCUUGUGUGUCAGAAAAGCAAACUAACCAGGACAUUCCAGGUCUGCUUCCUAGAGCCACGUCCCUCAGCGUGGGUUCCAGGAAAUGUCACUGGACUCUCAACACCCCCUCCGCAAAGAGGAAAUACUAAGCCAGAGGGUUUCGAGCCCAGAGGACGUGGAUGAUGUGGGGAGGUCAGAGCAGGGCUCCUCAGAGGCUCUAAGGCUCCUACGCGAUGUGAACGUCAAGCACACGGUGGGCUCACUCUUGUCCCAACUGACCUGCUGGGGAAGUCGGCUUCUGAGGGACGCUGAAGGUCCUGGAAUCCUCACCUUACCCAGGCGGUGUUGGAAGGCACCGUAGCUGCAGGCCUCUUGCCCCUCUGACCCCCGAGUGUCCACCGUGCGUAGAGACGGGGCCUCCGUGGUGCACAUGGAGGUGCCUGUCACUGAGACACCCGGGUCAGAGCCCCUGCUCAGGUCCACUCUCCCCCUGGGCCAGUCCUCACGGCUCAUCCCAGGCCUCGGAGAGCGUGUGUGCCUGGUCCCUGCCCCUGGGUGUGCACGGUGGCAGGAAGGAAGCCUGCCAUCACCUGGGGCCACUGAGACUUCCUCGUCACGGCUGUGGCCCAGGUGGACUCUUGGUGGCUGGGCAGAAAAAGCAGAUGCCACUCACCUCCUCCACCAUCCCACAGAGGGUGCACAGCUAACAGCCAUGGCCACAUCUCAGGUGUCACCUGAGGCCACUGCUGCCAUUGGUAGGUGACUUGUGCUUCCUGGUGCCAGCACCAGGGCAAGGGAAGGCCCUGGAAGGGAACAGACUGUGUCCCUGUGGCUGUGACACUGCAAUUAUGGCAAUGACACCCACGGGGACACCCCCUACCUGCCUUCCCUCCUUUUAAUGUGGCACCAAGCAGAAGGGACCUGGACCCUGUUGGGGGCAGAGGUGUCUCCAGAAAGAGGCUCCCAGCACGUGCAGGACGCUGGCACUGCCACCUGCCUGCGGGUCACCUGCUGACAGCCCUGGCCCGCCAGGCGUGGGAGCCACAGACUGCGUCCAGCCUCUGUGGGCCCCGGGCCACCAUGCACCAUGCAGGGCCGGUUCCUGCUCGUGCCAGUCACAGGAAGAGGCAGCGUCCUGGCUGUGCCCCGGGCAGGCCAUGUGUCUGGGACUUGGCACUGGGGACAGCUCGGGAGGGGGAGGCAGGCCGGGGCAGGCCGCGUUCAGCUCCAUCUGUCUCCGGCUCCUGCCUGGCAUCUUGGCGGUGCUGUUCCCAGCCCUGGGCAGCCCCCCGCCUGUCUCAGCAGCUGCUGGACAGGGGACGGGCAAGUCGCUCCCUCUCAGCGACGGCCUAGGAGGAGCGUCCCCAGGAAUCGGUGGGAGGGUAGGAGUCCAGAGUGGCCGGGCCCACCCAGAGCUGGGGGGCGCUGGGGUCCCCACUCUGGGUCCCUGUCUCUCUUUCUCCCCCACCGGGCAUGGCUGCUGCAGCCCGGGAUAUUAGCCCGAUAAACUCAACGUGAAAAUCGUAAUCCGGCAAGUCCUGGCCAUUCUUGUCAAUUCUCUUAAAGGUUAAUCUGCUUUUCUCGUUAUUAAUGAAGGGCUUCGGAAAUGCAGCCAGGUCCCUCCGUGUUUGGGUAGAUUUGGGCUAAUGGGCUAUUUUAUUUCCAUGGUAACAGCUCUCCGUGUUACAGGAAGAUAAUUUUCCAGACAAAAGAUUUGUGGGUCUUAUUAUUCCGCAGGGAUCGGGCUGUGGAGGCUGGGGACGUGGGCUUGAGGUCUGCCCGAGCCUGCAAGUCCCACCCAUCCUGGGGGGCACCUGUUUGCCUCUGGCUUCUGGGUCCCAAGGCUUGUUAGGGCUGCAUUGUAGGAAAUUGGCAGGGACUGAAUAGGAAAUUGGCAGGGACUGAAUGAAGAUAUUCUUUGGAAGACAAUGGUCUAGAUUCAUUCUCUUAUCAGCCAAAGGGGCCAGAGAGAAGUGGCUUGUGUUAGAGGGACCGCUGCCACAACAGGGGCCUCCUCUGCCCCGUGGGUGGGCCAUUAUGGUAAUCCUCCUGCCCCCGGCUCCUGGUCCCACCGUCCAUUCUCCCGGGGUCUAGGGCAACUCACGUGCACUGCACAACCUGUCCCAGACAGCAGCGGCUGCAAAGGCUUCUGGGAGACAUUGGUGAACCCCGGAGCAUCCAGGGUGGACACAAAGCCGCCUAACUGGCCUCCUCUGCUGCAUGGUGAGGUCAUGUGUGGGGAGCUGCUCCUGCCCCACAGCCUGGGCUUACACCAUGCAGAGUUUCCCAUUCUUGAUGCUUACACAGGGUCCCUGCGGGGCUUCCCUUCAGGAUGGAAGCGCCCUGAGCACAGGAAGUACCCUCUCUGGCUUCUGCCCUACCUGCUCUAUUUGUUGGUCUUCAGAUAGCUGCUCCUGUUCCUUUUUGGGGAACCACCCUCUCCACCAGCCCCUGAACCUCACAGCCUUGGGAGGACUGGCGUGUGCUGGUUCUUGCACCAGCUAACAGGAGCCAGGAGACCCAGGACAGUCAGAGGGGAUGACUGACAAGCCCCAGAUUUCGGCUAGAAAUCUUAAAAUGACAAGCUCUCUCUCGCCCCCAUAGUUACCGCUUUGAGAAGACCUUAGCCUUCCCCUUCCCCUGGAGAGUUUGUCUGGAGUAGAGCCAACCACAGCAGAAAGCAGAGCUGAGAAAUGGAGAUAACAAACCUGAAGCAUCAUCUGAGUUCCUGGAUCUAGCCAUUCCUGAAGGUAUUAUAUCCUCAGACUUUUCAAUCAUGAGGAUUAUUAUAAUCCCUUUUUUUGUUUAAGCCAAUCUGUGUGGAUUUGUUGUCACUCACCAUCAAAACUCAUCCGGGUACCUACUAUUUUAAAAAUGAAUGAGUGAAUGAACAAAUGAAA